rnacentral:rRNA from 1 species
UUCUUGGACAAUGGGCACAAGCCUGAUCCAGCCAUGGCGCGUGAGUGAUGAAGGCCUUAGGGUCGUAAAGCUCUUUCGCCAGAGAUGAUAAUGACAGUAUCUGGUAAAGAAACCCCGGCUAACUCCGUGCCAGCAGCCGCGGUAAUACGGAGGGGGUUAGCGUUGUUCGGAAUUACUGCGCGUAAAGCGCGCGUAGGCGGACUAGUCAGUCAGGGGUGAAAUCCCGGGGCUCAACCCCGGAACUGCCUUUGAUACUGCUAGUCUAGAGUUCGAGAGAGGUGAGUGGAAUUCCGAGUGUAGAGGUGAUAUUCGUAGAUAUUCGGAGGAACACCAGUGGCGAAGGCGGCUCACUGGCUCGAUACUGACGCUGAGGUGCGAAAGUGUGGGGAGCAAACAGGAUUAGAUACCCUGGAAGUCCCCACCCGUAAAGCGAUGAAGUGCCAGACGUCGGGUAGCAUUUCGCUUGGGACGGCACCAGCCAAUUCAGCUGACUCCCGAGA